rnacentral:rRNA from 1 species
UACGGGGGGGGCAAGCGUUGUUCGGAUUUAUUGGGCGUAAAGGGCUCGUAGGCGGUUUGUCGCGUCGGGAGUGAAAACACGGGGCUUAACCCCGUGCCUGCUUCCGAUACGGGCAGACUAGAGGUAUGCAGGGGAGAACGGAAUUCCUGGUGUAGCGGUGAAAUGCGCAGAUAUCAGGAGGAACACCGGUGGCGAAGGCGGUUCUCUGGGCAUUACCUGACGCUGAGGAGCGAAAGUGUGGGGAGCGAACAGG